GAGAAAAUAAUUUGAGAAAACUAGAAAUUGAACUAUCAAUUUUAGGAGCUCCCUCAGUUUGAGGAAGCCCGUCCAAAAAUAGGCGUAUGCCAUUUAUCGUGACGAACACACGGUAUUCUUUAGUAAAAGGCGAAAGAACAGUU